GACGAACGCUGGCGGCGUGCUUAACACAUGCAAGUCGAACGGAAAGGCCCCUUUGGGGGUACUCGAGUGGCGAACGGGUGAGUAACACGUGAGUAACCUGCCCUUGACUUCGGGAUAACUUCAGGAAACUGGGGCUAAUACCGGAUAGGAAUCCUUGCUGCAUGGUGGGGGUUGGAAAGCUUCGGCGGUUUUGGAUGGACUCGCGGCUUAUCAGCUUGUUGGUGGGGUAGUGGCUUACCAAGGCUUUGACGGGUAGCCGGCCUGAGAGGGCGACCGGCCACAUUGGGACUGAGAUACGGCCCAGACUCCUACGGGAGGCAGCAGGGGGGAAUAUUGCACAAUGGGCGGAAGCCUGAUGCAGCAACGCCGCGUGCGGGAUGACGGCCUUCGGGUUGUAAACCGCUUUCAGCAGGGGCAAAGCUUGUGGUGACGGUACCUGCAGAAGAAGCACCGGCUAACUACGUG
rnacentral:rRNA from 1 species